rnacentral:lncRNA from 1 species
CCUAGAGGAAGCUCUCCGUAGAGGCCACAUGCUGGGUGUCCAUCACCCUUUGUCCCGCCUCUGGGGAGGUCUGAGAGAAGGGCCAAGUUUGCCACCCUAGCAGGGUGCCACCUUCUGAAGGGGGGUGAGUUCCCAGGAAUCCCAGCAAUGCACCCAGACACAAAAAGACAUUCACAUAGGAUUUGGCCCAAAGUGGGAAACAAAAUAAGUAGCAUUAAAACUCCGUGUUGUCCUCCUAUAAG